ACGGCUGUUGAUUCGCCGUGGUGAAUAGUCGUCCUAUCGUCGUUGGUCGGUCCCUCGUUUGGAGCUCGCCUCGUGUUGGCCGUUUUGCUCAGGCCGUGCUCGUUCGUGCAGCCAACAGGCAAGGUAAAUCGGUGUUGUGCGUGCGUGCACCUGUCCGUGUGCAAGUGGAUGUGUGCGUGUGCGUGUUUCUAGCAAGAGCUCCCCUACGCGGACUGGUCUAAUCGGACUGGCUGGCUGGCUGCGCUUGCUGACUGACUGACUGACUGACUGACUGGCAGAGCUCGUGCGUGUGUGUUUGCAGCUUACUGCUGACCGUUUUCUCUACGUUUUCCCGUCGUGUGACGGCAGCAGCCUCAGUGCGCUCAGUUUCUUUAGGAUCGUAGUUUGAGUUUUCCGUAAUUUUCACAGUGGCGCACCACAACUUCAGCAUCAGCAGCAGUGUCAGCAGCAGCAAAAACGGUUCAUGCAGAGUCGUUAGAAGUGUGGGAUUAAGUGUGAACGUGAAACUGGAUAGUAGUGCGCUAGUGUUCUGCAUUUCUGCAAAACUGCCCAAACGGAACGAAGUGCAAAUAAAUGAUGAAUAAUUGUGUCGACGAGCUGGCGUGUGGCUGGCAAUAGUGCGUAAAUUAAAGUUUGAAGUGUGUGUGUGUGUGUGCGUUGAUUCACCUGUUUCUUUUUUUGGUUUGUCUUCACGGUGAAUGGAAAAUAUAUAUAAAUUUAUGAUAAUGAUUGCGCACCUCGCACCCGCCGUAAGCGACGCAAAAUGAUUCAUUCCCGUUUUUGCUGAGCGUGUGCACGUGUCAGUGUGUGAGUUUUUGGUUCAUUCAGCCAGUGAAAACCUUCUUCCCUUCAGUGCAGUUUUUGAGGCUUUUCGUUUUUUUUGGCAAAUGCAGCCAAAAUGAGGUAUGAAAAAAUUAUGGGAAAGCGUUAAAGUGUUGUGCCUCGGUGCGAAGUGUGCAGUUUGUUCCGUUUGAUUUAUUGUUAAUUUGUUAAACAAGUGUGUUAAAGUGUGUUUGUGUGCGUGUGUCUUUUUUGUGAGCUGAGCAGAGCUGAGAUGCAGUGUUUCGUCAGCAUUACCGCACAAGUGCAUGGUUAAGUGAGAGCCGCAGUUGCAGCAUAUAGCACUACUGAGCGGAUCACGAGAAGCGGCGGAAGCGGCCAGACGACGACGCAGCGCCACAUCUGCCACGAGCGCACAUCUAGCAAGGAGCAGCAGCAACUAGUAUGCUCCCGGAGGAAUAAACCCAUUGCAAGGACUCUAAGGAGGUAAGGAUCAGCUUAGCAGUUGUGUGUGAAU